rnacentral:lncRNA from 1 species
UAUAUAUAUAUAUAAGGAUGGAAUUUGCGUAAACAAGCAUCAUUGUUAACACAUAUACGUUUGGAGUGCAAUAUAGGGACUGUAGGAAACUGCACUGCGUUGGAGGUGUCCAAGCGGUUUUUGGAUGCAAGUGGUAAAACACAACAUACAAAUAGGAAAGUUAGAUACAGCGUUUGCUGUCAUAGCUUACGAAAAAAACAUCGAUAUAGACUGGGACCAAGCACAGUUGAUAAAACCAUUAAGAGAUACUGCAGGUAUUACAACAAUGGAAGCCUUAGAAAUUGAAAGAAAAAAGACUAUGAUGAAUGUUGUUAAUGACAAUGAACCGUCGUCG